rfam:Pan troglodytes isolate Yerkes chimp pedigree #C0471 (Clint) chromosome 3, whole genome shotgun sequence.
GCCAGAUGCUGUGGUGUGCACCUAUAGUCCCAGCUACCUGGCAGGCUGAGGUGGGAGGAUCACUUGAGCCCAGGAGUUCUAGUCUGUAGUGUGUUAUGAUCACAUCUGUGAAUAGCCACUGCACUCCAGCCUGGGCAAGAUAGCAAGAUCUUACGUCUU